ACGACAUGCAUCAGGUAGUAACAGAGGGUUCGAUCAUGGCUCAGAUUGAACGCUGGCGGGAUGCUUUACACAUGCGGGUCGAACGGCAGCACGGACUUCGGUCUGGGUGGCGAGUGGCGAACGGGUGAGAAAUGUAUCGGAACGUGCCUAGUAGCGUGAUAACUACGCCGCUGAGCGCUAAUACCGUAUACGCCCUUCGGGGGAAAGCGGGGACCUUUCGGCCUCGCACUAUUAGAGCGGCCGAUAUCGGAUUAGCUAGUUGCGGGGUAAACGGCUCAUCAUACUAUCCGUAGCUGGUUUGAGGAGGACGACCAGCCACACGGACUGGAGACACGGCCCAGACUCCUACGGAGGCAGCAGUGGGGAAUUUUGGAUAAUGGGGAACUCCUGAUCCAGCCAUCCCGCGUGUGCGAUGAAGGCCUUCGGGUUGUAAAGCACUUUUGGCAGGAAAGAACGGCACGGAUAAUACCUCCGUGCAACUGACGGUGUCUGCAGAAUAAGUACUUAUUAAAUUACGUGCCAGCAGCCGCGGUAAUACGUAGGGUAAGCGUUAAUCGGAAUUAUUGGUGUAAAGCGUGGCGCAGGCGGUUCGGAAAGAAAGAUGUGAAAUCCCAGAGCGAACCCUGGAACUGCAUUUUUAACUACCGAGCUAUGUGUCAGAGGGAGGUGGAAUUCGCGCAAGGGCAGUGAAAUGCGUAGAUAUGCGGAGGAACACCGAUGGCGAAGGUGGCCUCCUGGGAUAACACUGACGCUCAUGCACGAAAGCGGUGGGAGCAAACAGGAUUUUCAGAUACCCGGUAGUCCACGCCCUAAACGAUGUCAACUAGCUGUUGGGGCCUCGGCCUUGGUAGCGCAGCUACCGCGUGAAGUUGACCGCCUGUGAGCAGUACAAAAGAUUAAAACCCCAAAGGAAUUGAUGGGACCUGCACAAGCGGUGGAUGAUGGGAUUAAUUCGAUGCAACGCGAAAACCUACCUACCCUUGACAUGUCUGAAUCCCGAAGAGAUUUGGGAGUGUCAAAGAGAACCGGAAAUACAGGUGCUGCAUGGCUGUCGUCAGUCGUGUCGAGAUGUUGGGUUAAGUCCCGCAACGAGCGCAACCCUUGUCAUUAGUUGCUACGAAAGGCACUCUAAUGAGACUGCCGGUGACAAACCGGAGGAAGGUGGGGAUGACGUCAAGUCCUCAUGGCCCUUAUGGGUAGGGUCAAGACGUCAUACAAUGGUCGACAGAGGGUCGCCAACCCGCGAGGGGAGCCAAUCCCAGAAACCCGAUCGUAGUCCGGAUCGCAGUCUGCAACUCGACUGCGUGAAGUCGGAAUCGCUAGCAAUCGCGGAUCAGCAUGUCGCGGUGAAUACGUUCCUGGCCUUGUACACACCGCCCGUCACACCAUGGAGUGGGUUUUACCAGAAGUAGUUAGCCUAACCGCAAGGAGGGCGAUUACCACGGUAGGAUUCAUGAUCGGGGUGAAGUCGUAACAAGGUAA
rnacentral:rRNA from 1 species